AUGGCUCCGAAGCAGGCAAGUAGUGGUGUUUUUGUAGGAUUGAACAAGGGUCAUAUUGUUACCAAUAAGGAGUUGGCUCCACGACCCUCGAGUCGUAAAGGGAAAACAAGCAAGCGUGUGCACUUUGUAAGGAACCUAAUCCGUGAGGUUGCUGGAUUUGCACCCUAUGAAAAGCGGAUCACUGAAUUGCUCAAGGUUGGAAAGGAUAAGAGGGCACUCAAAGUUGCCAAGAGAAAGCUUGGAACACAUAAGCGCGCAAAGAAGAAGCGCGAGGAGAUGUCUAAUGUUCUUAGGAAGAUGAGGGCUGGUGGAGCAGGUGAUAAGAAGAAAUAA